rnacentral:rRNA from 1 species
UGGGGAAUUUUGGACAAUGGGCGCAAGCCUGAUCCAGCAAUGCCGCGUGUGUGAAGAAGGCCUUCGGGUUGUAAAGCACUUUUGGCAGGAAAGAAAUAGUGCGUGCUAAUACCACGCGCGAAUGACGGUACCUGCAGAAUAAGCACCGGCUAACUACGUGCCAGCAGCCGCGGUAAGACGUAGGGUGCGAGCGUUAAUCGGAAUUACUGGGCGUAAAGCGUGCGCAGGCGGUUUUGUAAGACAGGUGUGAAAUCCCCGGGCUCAACCUGGGAACUGCACUUGUGACUGCAAGACUAGAGUGUGUCAGAGGGAGGUGGAAUUCCGCGUGUAGCAGUGAAAUGCGUAGAGAUGCGGAGGAACACCGAUGGCGAAGGCAGCCUCCUGGGAUAACACUGACGCU